AUUGAACGCUGGCGGCAGGCCUAACACAUGCAAGUCGAGCGACCGGCGGACGGGUGAGUCAUGUAAGUGUACCUGCCCGUUAGAGGGAGAUAACUACUGGAAACGGUGGCUAAUCCUGCAUCCUGUCGGAUGUACCCAUAAUGGAUUAGGUAGUAGGUUAGGUAAUGGCCUACCUAGGCGACGAUCCCUAGCUGGUCUGAGAGGAUGAUCAGCCACACUGGGACUGAGACACGGCCCAGACUCCUACGGGAGGCAGCAGUGGGGAAUAUUGCACAAUGGGCGCAAGCCUGAUUCAGCCAUGCCGCGUGUAUGAAGAAGGCCCUAGGGUUGUAAAGUACUUUCAGUCGGGAGGCGUUACCGACAGAAGAAGCACCGGCUAACUCCGUGCCAGCAGCCGCGGUAAUUC
rnacentral:rRNA from 1 species